rnacentral:rRNA from 1 species
AACGCGAAGAACCUUACCAAGGCUUAAAUGGGAAUUGAGGUUUAGAAAUAGACCUCUGGGCAAUUUAAGGUGCUGCAUGGUUGGAGCGUGCCGUGAGGUGUUAGGUUAAGCUGCAACGAGCGCAACCCCUGUUACUAGUUGCUACCAUUAAGUUGAGGACUAGUAAGACUGCCUACGCAAGUAGAGAGGAAGGUGGGGAUGACGAAAAACGGCCCUUACGCCUUGGGCCACACACGUAAUACAAUGGCCGGUACAGAGGGCAGCUACACAGCGAUGUGAUGCAAAGAAAGCCGGAGUGGAUUGGAGUGCAACGACUAUGAAGCUGGAAGCUAGUAAGCGCAAGCCAUGGCGCGGUGAAUACGUCCGGGUUGUACACACCG